AUAUAUCCCUUCUAGAGGCACAUACAUAUGUAUAAUAUGUAGUGUGUGUAUAGUAAUUAUAUCUAUGAAUCCAUAUAUCUCUAGCUCUCUAUCUAUUUGUUGUUAGUGCCAUUGCAUCAUUUCUGACUCCUAGGGCCAUCCUCUCACCUUCCACUUCCUGAGAACUUUCCGUGGAUUCACAAGCUUGAAGAAGUCCUUUCAACAUUUCUUACAAGGUGGUGCUAUAGCUCAAGUUUGUGGCUUCUCUCUUGCCCAUCCACUGUGGCCUGUUUUCUGAGCAGUCUCCCUAUCUGCUGGAGCUCGCCCUGGUGGACACACUCAGGAGUGUGCACAAAGAGCCAGCUGCAGAGUGAGGGGAGGUAUGGGGUUAGCACUCAGUACAUGGGGGUGCUUGUAGACCCAGUAGAGAGAUCCCUGGGGGUCGUACGCCCGGAUGCUCAUGGGUGAACUUCCUGCCAGGCACAAUCCCCUUAACGCAGUUUGAAAUUUUUACCUGCCUCUUUCCCAAUGUUCUCCCUCCCCUCAAUCAUAGAGUUCCCACCUUAAUAUUCCAGGUGCUGGUACACAGAAAUGGGUUUCUCCAGCCACAUCCCACCCAGCUGGGUAGCCAGGCACUCACUCAUUGCUUUCCUUUUCCCUGUAGGAAAGGCUACCUCCACCAGAUAAAUCAGCUGCAUUCAGUGUUUCCUUAGGGGAGGGGUAGUACCAGGGAAGUUUCCCAUACCACCUACACUGUGACCAAAGUUGUAUUUUUCUUUUUCUCCAAAGGUGUUCUGGAGUCUUCCUUUGGGAAUGUUAGACUUCUGCAAGUUGUCUCUCGUGUGUGAGUGCCUGCCUGUGUCAGCACUCACCUGAUUUUUGCCCAACAGUGGUAAGAGGGGUCUAGGCAGUUUUGCUGCCUCCACUGAUUCUGCAGCAUGAAUGGAGAUGUGUCUGUCUCUUACUGGAUGCAGUGGUGGGCCAGACUCCUCUUGGGUCCCUUGAAGUAAGGUGCUGGGUCCCAAAUCAUCCCUCAAACCACUUGUCUUUGUGAAUGGAUGUCUAAUUCAUUGGUUAAAAAGGAGGACUGUCAGGGGCUGGCCCCGCGGCCGAGUGGUUAAGUUUGCGCGCUCCGCUGCAGGUGGCCCAGUGUUUUGUUGGUUCGAAUCCUGGGCGUGGACAUGGCACUGCUCAUCAAACCACGCUGAGGUGGCAUCCCACAUGCCACAACUAGAAGGCCCACAACGAAGAAUAUACAACUAUGUACCGGGGGGCUUUGGGG
rnacentral:lncRNA from 1 species